CCGGAAUCCAUCUCCAGACGAGACUCGUACCAGGAUUGAGGGGCUAUCAAGGCCUACGCACCAUCAAAGCCUAAGAACAUUUCGCGGGGAACAACUCACGCACGGUCUGUGAAGAAGUUUGGCCGAGACCUCAACCCAAAGGUAGAGAACCGAGGGUCAUCCGAGAACGGUGAGCGAACUUCCGGCGUUCUUAAAUCCUCCGAUAGUCAAGAAAAAAAUUAUAAAAAGAAUACUAGGACGUAGCCUGUAACACGAUCUAGAACGUUGCCGAAGGAAUCAUAUUGAUCCGAUCUACGGAUCGAAAGAUAUGAAAAUCGGAAAAUAAAAACCGACUGGGUUUCGGUUUCCAGAGGACAGAGAAAAAAAAAAAAAA